GAUGAACGCUGGCGGCGUGCCUAAUACAUGCAAGUCGAGCGGACGGACGCGACGCUUGCUUCUCUGAUGUUAGCGGCGGACGUGUGAGUAACACGUGUAUCACCUCCCUAUAAGACUGGUAUAACUUCGGGAAACCGGAGAUAAUACCGGAUAAUCUUUUGAACCGCAUGGUUCAAAAGUGAAAGACGGUCUUGCUGUCUCUUCUAGCUGGAUCCGCGCUGCAUUAGCUAGUUGUUACGGUAACGGCUUACCAGGGCAACGAUGCAUAGCCGACGUGAGAGAGUGAUAGGCGACACGGGAACGGGGACGGCGACCAGACUACUACGGGAGGCAGCAGACGGGAAUGGGCGGCAGUGGGCGAGAGCAUGGCGGAGCAGGGGCGCGUGAGUGAUGAAGGUCUUCCGUUCGGAAUACCCGGUUAUGAGUGAAGAACAUAUGUGGAAGUAACUGAGGACAGCGUGACGGUAAUUAGUAAGAAAGCCACGGCUAACUACGUG
rnacentral:rRNA from 1 species